AACAAACGCUGGCGGCGUGCCUAACACAUGCAAGUCGUACGAGAAAGGGUCCUUCGGGGCCUGAGUAAAGUGGCGCACGGGUGAGUAACGCGUGGGUGAUCUGCCCUUCAGUUGGGAAUAACUCAUCGAAUGGUGGGCUAAUACCGAAUAAUGCUGUGAGACCUCGGUUGAUCAGCCAAAGAGAGCCUCUGCUUGCAAGCCCUCGCGGAAGGAUGAGUCCGGGUACCAUUAGCUAGUUGGUAGGGUAAUGGCCUACCAAGGCGACGAUGGUUAGCUGGUCUGAGAGGAUGAUCAGCCACACUGGAACUGAGACACGGUCCAGACUCCUACGGGAGGCAGCAGUGAGGAAUCUUGCGCAAUGGGGGCAACCCUGACGCAGCAACGCCGCGUGAGUGAGGAAGGUCUUCGGAUCGUAAAGCUCUGUCGGAUGGAAAGAACCGCAUAGGGGUAAACAGCCCCUGUGUCAGACGGUACCAUCAAAGGAAGCACCGGCUAACUCCGUGCCAGCCGCCGCAGUAACAC
rnacentral:rRNA from 1 species